UGCCAGACUCCUACGGGAGGCAGCAGUGGGGAAUAUUGCGCAAUGGGGGAAACCCUGAUGCAGCGACGCCGCGUGAGCGAUGAAGUAUUUCGGUAUGUAAAGCUCUAUCAGCAGGGAAGAAGAUGACGGUACCUGACUAAGAAGCCCCGGCUAACUACGUGCCAGCAGCCGCGGUAAUACGUAGGGGGCAAGCGUUAUCCGGAUUUACUGGGUGCAAAGGGAGCGUAGACGGCGAUGCAAGCCAGAUGUGAAAGCCCGGGGCUCAACCCCGGGACUGCAUUUGGAGCUGUGUGGCUGGAGUGUCGGAGAGGCAGGCGGAAUUCCUAGUGUAGCGGUGAAAUGCGUAGAUAUUAGGAGGAACACCAGUGGCGAAGGCGGCCUGCUGGACGAUGACUGACGUUGAGGCUCGAAAGCGUGGGGAGCAAACAGGAUUAGAUACCCGUGUAU
rnacentral:rRNA from 1 species